rnacentral:rRNA from 1 species
AUUGAACGCUGGCGGCAGGCCUAACACAUGCAAGUCGAGCGGAGCGGCGGACGGGCGAGUAAUGCCUAGGAAUCUGCCUGGUAGUGGGGGAGAACGUCCGGAAACGGGCGCUAAUAACGCAUACUUUCAGUUGAGCCUAGGUCGGUUUAGCUAGUUGGUGGGGUAAAGGCCUACCAAGGGGACGACCCCUAACUGGUCUGAGAGGAUGAUCAGUCACACUGGAACUGAGACACGGUCCAGACGCCUACGGGAGGCAGCAGUGGGGAAUAUUGGACAAUGGGCGAAAGCCUGAUCCAGCCAUGCCGCGUGUGGGAAGAAGGUCUUCGGAUUGUAAAGCACUGUAAGUUGGGAGGCGUUACCAACAGAAUAAGCACCGGCUAACUUCGUGCCAGCAGCCGCGGUAAUUC